AAAGCCUAAAAAUCAUGCUUUUAAAAUUGCGUUUCAAAUUUCGUUCCAAAACGCCAAUACUUUGUCACGUGAUCGCUGUGACGUCACAUGCUCACAAAUAAAGGUUACUGGUGCAUUUCACCAUAUGAAGUGAAGACCAGCAAGGAAUGAAACAACACGAACAUUAGCAGUUAAAAGACAAAGAUUGGAAGCAGUAGCCGAUUGUGAAAGAGAAAUAGAACAAGCACUCUGAGAACUCUGCACAAAGUAUUUCCAUGGCUGAGGUUCAACCAGGUCCAAGCUCAGGGCAAACAGAUGUACUUCAACUAGCAGAGUAUAAGCCAAUAUCAACAGACAAAUCAAUACAAGUAUCCAUGGUUCAUAAAUUCAGAAGUAAAAGCACACAGACUCUAGAAAGCUAUAUGUCAGUACCAACGAAGAACAGUCAGACAGUGAUGUAUCAUUAUGUACACAAUCAACUGUGUCUGUGACUCACUCAGACUCCUCUUCUGCAAGAUUAUCCUCUUUACAAGUGAAAGCUUCUUCAGGAAGUAGUAGUCUAAAUGAAGAAGUGAUCAACAAGAGAUGGAGCAAAAUAUUCAUAAUAUGAUGAGGAAAAUUAAGAAAAAGCCAAGGUUCUACAUUGGAGUACCAGAAAGUUGCUAUUGCUUAAUCAAUGCAAUAAGCAAACACACAAGCAUUCCAGAAAAACAUAUAUUUUAAAGCCUUAUGCUUGUAUUAAUAAUAAUCUAUUAAUGGUACUCGAUGAAGUAAUUAUAAUAGCAUGUACCUUAAUUAAUUUACAAGACUCAUUAUGUCUUUAAAUAAAGCUAUUUUAAAAUAAAAUCCUGAAAGCAUUA